rnacentral:rRNA from 1 species
UUGGAGGGCAAGUCUGGUGCCAGCAGCCGCGGUAAUUCCAGCUCCAAUAGCGUAUAUUAAAGUUGUUGCAGUUAAAAAGCUCGUAGUUGAAUUUCGGGAUUCUUCCGUUGGUCAGGCUAACAAGUCUGUACUAGCGUGUAGAAUCUCUACCUUCUGGGGAACCAUCAUGUUAUUAAUUUAGCGUGGUGGGAAACCAGGACCUUUACCUUGAAAAAAUUAGAGUGUUCAAAGCAGGCAUUUGCUUGAAUAGAUUAGCAUGGAAUAAUAGAAUAGGACGUUGGUUCUAUUUUGUUGGUCUAGGACCACCGUAAUGAUUAAUAGGGAUAGUUGGGGGCAUUAGUAUUCAAUUGUCAGAGGUGAAAUUCUUGGAUUUAUUGAAGACUAACUAUUGCGAAAGCAUUUGCCAAGGAUGUUUUCAUUAAUCAAGAACGAAAGUUAGGGGAUCGAAGACGAUCAGAUACCGUCGUAGUCUUAACCAUAAACUAUGCCGACUAGGAAUCGGGCGACGUUAUUUUCAUGACUCGCUCGGCGCCUUAUGGGAAACCAAAGUGUUUGGGUUC